rnacentral:tRNA from 1 species
GGGUGAUUAGCUCAGCUGGGAGAGCACCUCCCUUACAAGGAGGGGGUCGGCGGUUCGAUCCCGUCAUCAUGCG